rnacentral:rRNA from 1 species
UAGGGAAUCUUCCGCAAUGGACGCAAGUCUGACGGAGCAACGCCGCGUGAGUGAAGAAGGAUUUCCGUUCGUAAAACUCUGUUGUUAGAGAAGAACAGCGCAUAGAGUAACUGUUAUGCGUGUGACGGUAUCUAACCAGAAAGCCACGGCUAACUACGUGCCAGCAGCCGCGGUAAUACGUAGGUGGCAAGCGUUGUCCGGAUUUAUUGGGCGUAAAGCGAGCGCAGGCGGUCAAUUAAGUCUGAUGUGAAAGCCCCCGGCUCAACCGGGGAGGGUCAUUGGAAACUGGUUGACUUGAGUGCAGAAGAGGAGAGUGGAAUUCCAUGUGUAGCGGUGAAAUGCGUAGAUAUAUGGAGGAACACCAGUGGCGAAGGCGACUCUCUGGUCUGUAACUGACGCUGAGGCUCGAAAGCGUGGGUAGCAAACAGG